UCCAGAGUCUCCAGUGCCAGUCGGAGCAAUCAUACAUACUUGAUGAAUGAAUGAAUAAAUGAAUGAAUGCUCAACAUCUCCCAGAGAACAUACAUCCAGUGUCUGGUUCUGAGGCUCACCCUCUGCAGGGAACUUGAAAAUGACACAGAGAGAAAUGCAAGUGGCAAUAGGAUCCAGAAACCGAGAGACUCAUGGAAAGGAGGCAGCCGGUGGAAGCAGGAGACAGCAGAAGCCAAGCCAAACAGCAAAAGAAGGAAAUUGAAAGGAGCCAGAAGGGGUCAUCUGAGAGAUGUCAAGAGUGGCAGCAGAAACAGACAGGCACCUCCUGUGCCAAUGCCUGCUUUUGAGAGAUCAAGAUCAUGGUAUCUGUAGACUGAGAACAAAGUGUGAGACUCAGAACUAAGUCCAUUCAAGCUCUGCAUUUCUUUGUUAUGUCCCUUUCAUCAGUAAUUUCCAUUAGUUCCUUACAUCUCUUUCAUCAUGAAUUUCCACCAGAGAAUCUAAUUGCAUCAGACUCGCUGAAAAAGUUUAACUAAUAGAUCCAAUAUUUACCAGCCUGUGAUCUUGGGUAAGUCACGUAUCCUGCACGAACAUGAGUUGUUUCAUCUCUAUGUGUGAUAGGCAAAAUAAUAGCCCUAAACAUGUCCACAUCCUAAUUCUCAGAAUUUGAGACUAUGUUACCUUACAUGGCAAAAGGGAUUUUGCAGAUAUGAUUAAGUUACAACAUUGAGAUAGGGUCCUAUGUUAUACAUGUGGGCCCAGUCUAAUCAUAUGGGUUCUUAAAAUCAGGGAGAGAUUUUCCCAGCUGUGGUCAAGGAGAGAUGUGAUGAGGGAAGAAUGGUCAGAGAGAUGCUGCACUACUGGCUUUCAAGAUAGAGGAAGGGGCCGUGAACCAAGGAAUGUGGAUGGCCUCUAGAAGCUGGAAAAAGGCAAGGAAGCAGAUUCUUCCCAACCUAAAGAGGAGGAACACAGCCUGCCAAACACCCCAGCUUUAGCCCUGUUAAACCUGUGUUAAACUUUUAACCUAUAGAACUGUAAUAUAACAGAUUUGUGUUGUUUUAAGCUGUUAAGUUUGCAGUAACUUGUUACAGCAGCAAUAGAAAACUAAUACAUUCUGAUGGCUAACACUACAUAUGCAUGGGAAAAUGUCUAAAAGAAUGUAUUCUCCAAUGUAACAUUGGUUUUGUCAUCUUUUCAAAUUAUUUCUUUUUUCUGGUUUCAAUAACGACUGUGUGUUAUUUGUGUAAUAAAGAAAUGAUGGAAAUGUUAAAGAAUAAGUAAUAUGUACUAAAUAAAGUUAGAUGACCUCUAAGGCUCCACCUAACUGUGGCAUUAUCUGAGCAAUCCAGCUGGUGGCUUAAUUGCCAAUCCAUAUCCUGUUUCUUCUUGGAUGCCAUAGACAGGUCUUAACUCCUCCACAAAGGAACCAGAAAGAGCA
rnacentral:lncRNA from 10 species